UUAAAUAUGAUAAAUAAACAAAUAAAUAGUGUGUGUUCUAGUCUUCUGCAUGCUAAACUGCAUUGGCCAUUAGUCCUGGUUAACCCUAACCCUAACCCUGUCCCUUGUCCCUUUUUAGCACUGGGAAAGGUUCAGAGUGACAUUGAUCCCUGUUUCAAUUCAUCAGGUGUAACGAGGGAGGGGAGAGAGCCCCCCACCCCUUCCUACUGUGUUUGGCUGUGACAGAUGGAGACAACUGCUGCAAUGCAUGGAUGUGGUCCCUUUCCCCAAAUACCUGUUCCCAUGACAAUCAACCCACUUGCUUAUAUCACUGACUGCUCCCUCACUAGACACAACAGUGGAACCUGAACAGUACAUGUAGCAAUGUCUUCUCUGAUUAUCAGCCCAGAACUGUGUCGGAGGAAAGAUGGAGAGAAGCUGGCACGGGCUGACUGAUUUAAUAGUAUUUUUAUACUGAUGACUCCAUAGCAACUCUUGACAAUUUACAAACAGCUGCCUAAAAUCCAUACAACUAGUAGUCACGAGGCCCAGAGUCACCCUACACUAAACUAGAGAUGGGAAGAUCCUAGCUUCUGACCAUGUUGUCAUCAGCACGGUCAAUUGUUUGUACAGCCAGGUUUAUAUUGGAAGAAGAGGGCCAUUAAAACAUCACUUUAACUGCAGAGCAACUAAAGGGCAGCUUUAGCUGUCCCUGCAGCUGGCUGGAGGUGAAAGUCAGGUGAUGCCGUGAGGGUUGUUACUUAACAAUGGUUAGUGAGGGUCUUCAUGCUAUGGUUAGAGGGGCAUGAGGAUGAACUAGCUGAUUUGAUUCACUCCAACUCUCUAAAUAAAAUUAGCAUACGGGAUCCAGUGGAACUUUUGUUCCUGUUAAUCCUUUUUCAUAAGUGGGAAGUUCUACCAUAUGUGUAUUUUUUUUAAAAAAACCCAGUUGGUCUUCUGAGUCUAGGAUCCCUUCUUUCCAGACUGAGUUGACUUUCUUUGACUCCAAAAGCAAAAGACCAUCUGAAGAAAAAGCCUUGGAAGUAUAAUUUCCCAUAAAUUCAUUUUUUCUUUUCUAUUUUUUUCAAAAAAGAAAAACAUCUGAAGCACGACAUUGGCCAAGCAUUGAUAUGUGCUACUGUGAUUGUAUCCACACUAUGAUUUAUAAUACUUAGUAAAUUCGCCUCCUCCAGUUGAUUUGUCCUGAGCUGUUCAAAAUGUCUUCUUUUGGCAGGUCUGUCUGCAGAAAUACAGAGACCACCAAAGAGAACAAAAAAAGAAGCAGACAGAAGAGGUGACAUCCUCACAGGAGAAGGAGCUGGCAGAAAAAGAUGCCACCAUAAGAGCUUUGGAAGAGGAGAACAAGACCUUAGCCAGCGAACUGGCCCAUCUUCUGGAGCGGAAUGAGGAACUGAAGCACUUUACAAAUCUUGAUCCAGAAAGAGAGGCUGAGAGAAAAGAGUUGGAGGUUGCAAUAUUGAAGAAAAAAUUGGAAAGGGAGCAGAAGGCAAUCAGCCGACUCACCGCUGAGGUCUCAAGAGAGAGGGAGAGGAGAAGAGACCUCAUGAGAGCCCGGGACCAGGCAAUCGAUGCCAUCUGCUCCCAGUUGCUAUCUAUACCUUACUCUGAGAGAAGAUUGUCGGUGAGUUUUGUCCUUCUGCUUCUGGGAGAGAAAUAGACAUAUUUCAAUUGAUGACUCUC